GAGUAGGGAAAUGGAUACGCCGAGGAGCCGGCAGGAGGGAGAGCGGCCCGGAUCUGGGGUUCGAGUUGUGCCUCUUCGGUGAUGUUGGCGGGAUGCAGUGGGGUGGGACGACAGGGAGGAAUUUCACUGUUCUGGGCUGAGUGCCAAGAACACAUGAAUGAAUCAGACUUGGCGUGCGCCCUGGAAGACACCCCGGCCUGUGGAGAGACUGCCAGGGCCUCAAAUCACUUAGGAAAGGGCGCGGGUCCGGUUGGACCUUGAAGGACAGGCAGGCGAGGGUACUCCAGGGAACAGCUAAGCAAAGGCGGCGAAGACCCCGGGGGAAGAGGUCUAGACUGGCUUGGAUUCAGGGUCCACCUGGGUGGGAGGUGAGGCAGCAGAAUGGGCAGGUCAGACCCUGAAGGGUCUCCAGUGUCAGUUUUAUCCUUAAGGCCUGGGAGAUGCAGAAUAGUCUGAGACAGAACUAUGUUUAAAACCCUCGAAGGCCGCGUUGGAGAAGGGAAUCCGCUCCAGGGUCGAAAAUUUAAACACACGUGGGCGGAGUCUUGCGCGCGCCAAAGAGGAACAUUGGGCGACGGGCGCGGCCUGGAGAGCGCAUGCGCAUUCGGAAGGGUCGGCAGUUCCCCAGUGGGCAGAGUGGGUGGAUGGGAAGGUUCUAGCUUUUUAUUUGAAAUUUUAUUUAUUUUUAUUUUAUUUAUUUAUUUAGAGACGGAGUCUCGCCCUGUCACCCAGGCUGGCGUGCAGUGGCGAGAUCUCGGAUCACUGCCGUCUCCACCUCCUGAAAUUCAAGCG
rnacentral:lncRNA from 10 species